GACGAACGCUGGCGGCGUGCCUAAUACAUGCAAGUCGAACGCAGUGGGGACGGGUGAGUAACACGUGGGUAACCUCCCAUCAGAGGGGAUAACACUUGGAAACAGGUGCUAAACCGAUAAGGAUGGAUGGCCCGCCGGGGGAUUAGCUGGUUGGUGAGGUAACGGCUCACCAAGGCCACGAGGCAUAGCCGACCUGAGAGGGUGAUCGGCCACACUGGGACUGAGACACGGCCCAGACUCCUACGGGAGGCAGCAGUAGGGAAUCUUCGGCAAUGGACGAAAGUCUGACCGAGCAACGCCGCGUGAGUGAAGAAGGUUUUCGGAUCGUAAAACUCUGUUGUUAGAGAAGCGGUAUCUAACCAGAAAGCCACGACUAACUACGUGCCAGCAGCCGCGGUAAUUC
rnacentral:rRNA from 1 species